rnacentral:rRNA from 1 species
UGCAGUCGAGCGGACCGACGGGAGCUUGCUCCCUUAGGUCAGCGGCGGACGGGUGAGUAACACGUGGGUAACCUGCCUGUAAGACUGGGAUAACUCCGGGAAACCGGGGCUAAUACCGGAUGCUUGAUUGAACCGCAUGGUUCAAUCAUAAAAGGCGGCUUCGGCUGCCACUUACAGAUGGACCCGCGGCGCAUUAGCUAGUUGGUGAGGUAACGGCUCACCAAGGCGACGAUGCGUAGCCGACCUGAGAGGGUGAUCGGCCACACUGGGACUGAGACACGGCCCAGACUCCUACGGGAGGCAGCAGUAGGGAAUCUUCCGCAAUGGACGAAAGUCUGACGGAGCAACGCCGCGUGAGUGAUGAAGGUUUUCGGAUCGUAAAACUCUGUUGUUAGGGAAGAACACGUACCGUUCGAACAGGGCGGUACCUUGACGGUACCUAACCAGAAAGCCACGGCUAACUACGUGCCAGCAGCCGCGGUAAUACGUAGGUGGCAAGCGUUGUCCGGAAUUAUUGGGCGUAAAGCGCGCGCAGGCGGUUUCUUAAGUCUGAUGUGAAAGCCCCCGGCUCAACCGGGGAGGGUCAUUGGAAACUGGGGAACUUGAGUGCAGAAGAGGAGAGUGGAAUUCCACGUGUAGCGGUGAAAUGCGUAGAGAUGUGGAGGAACACCAGUGGCGAAGGCGACUCUCUGGUCUGUAACUGACGCUGAGGCGCGAAAGCGUGGGGAGCGAACAGGAUUAGAUACCCUGGUAGUCCACGCCGUAAACGAUGAGUGCUAAGUGUUAGAGGGUUUCCGCCCUUUAGUGCUGCAGCAAACGCAUUAAGCACUCCGCCUGGGGAGUACGGUCGCAAGACUGAAACUCAAAGGAAUUGACGGGGGGCCCGCACAAGCGGUGGAGCAUGUGGUUUAAUU